AGGUAGUUAAAAUUCCCUGAAACCUAUUUUAAAUGGCGGCAUUUUAUCUUAUUAGAGGAACCUGUUUAUUAAUCGACAAUACACGUUAAUUUUCACUCUUUUCACAAAUUUAUAUACCGCUGUCUAAAGAAUUAAUCUAUCAAUUUUAUUCAAAAUAUAUUUCAUAUAUAUACAUAUAUAUAUAUAUAUACUAAAAAGAUAAGUCAAGGUGUAGUUUAAAUUCUAGUAUAUUAUGGGUUACAAUAAAAAUAAUUUAUAGAUAAAUUUCCUAAAAUAAAUUUUGAAAUAGGAUUUAUAAGUAUUAAUAAAUAAUAAUAUUUAUUUUUGAAUAAGAUAAAAAUGUGU
rnacentral:rRNA from 1 species